CUAUUACCGGUUACUGUAACUUUUUCGGAUACAAACUUAAAUAGUCGUUAUGAAUUUCUUGUAUAAAAAUAUCGUGUGCAAGGCGGGGAAUGUAUAGAGGCUUGACGUCGAACGAUUAUAUCUAAUUCAACUGGUGCAGUAUUUUGAUCACUAGUCAAACAAACGUUGAAAAUGAAUAAAAAUCUACUGAUGGUGCUGGGAGUUCUUUUCACUGUAUUGCUGUUUACCGGUUCAGUCGUGGAGGGUACUCAACCUCUUAACUAUAACUUUAACAGAUUCAGGACAGGCCGUGGUAAUAACUUCGGUGGCAAUCGACGAUAUCGCUACGGCUUCAAUCGAGGUUUUGGUGGAUUCAAUCGGGGUUUUGGUGGAUUCAAUCGUAACCGUUUUGGAAGAAGAUUUUUUCAUGGAUAGAUUGACUUAAGAAAAUUUCAUGAAGAAUUGAGUUAUUCAUAAAAAAAAUAUUUAUAGGAAAAACAUUUGUUGUGUCACUGGAAACAAUAUAUUGUUUUAAAAAAAGUGCGAAGUGUUGUCACUUCCAAACUUAAAGCACAUUGUUUUUCCUGUAGACCUUUGUUGUGUCGUUAUUUUCCUUACGUUUACCUCAUAUAUUUUGGUGCCAAAGUAUAACCGACUUUAUCGCAAGAUUUUUAGAUCAUUUUAGCGAAAAGUGAAAAUUAAUACCCAUUUUAGAGCGAGAUUUUAGCCCAUUUGUGU